rnacentral:rRNA from 1 species
ACAGUAAGAGCUUGCUCUUAUGGGUGGCGAGUGGCGGACGGGUGAGGAAUACAUCGGAAUCUACUUUUUCGUGGGGGAUAACGUAGGGAAACUUACGCUAAUACCGCAUACGACCUUCGGGUGAAAGCAGGGGACCUUCGGGCCUUGCGCGAUUGAAUGAGCCGAUGUCGGAUUAGCUAGUUGGCGGGGUAAAGGCCCACCAAGGCGACGAUCCGUAGCUGGUCUGAGAGGAUGAUCAGCCACACUGGAACUGAGACACGGUCCAGACUCCUACGGGAGGCAGCAGUGGGGAAUAUUGGACAAUGGGCGCAAGCCUGAUCCAGCCAUACCGCGUGGGUGAAGAAGGCCUUCGGGUUGUAAAGCCCUUUUGUUGGGAAAGAAAAGCAGCGGGCUAAUACCUUGCUGUUCUGACGGUACCCAAAGAAUAAGCACCGGCUAACUUCGUGCCAGCAGCCGCGGUAAUACGAAGGGUGCAAGCGUUACUCGGAAUUACUGGGCGUAAAGCGUGCGUAGGUGGUUGUUUAAGUCUGUUGUGAAAGCCCUGGGCUCAACCUGGGAACUGCAGUGGAAACUGGAUGACUAGAGUGUGGUAGAGGGU